AUUGUACAAUACAAGUUAAAAGGCGUGGACUUGAUUCUUAGUUAAAGCAGAUUAAACACUAGUGAAAAUAACUUAAAAUUGAACUAAAAACUAGUGAAACAAAGGAGAAACUUAGUAUCUAAUAUAUACAUGCAGAAUUGGUAACCUACAUUACUACGAGCUACAUCUAAACGAACAUUAACAGUGCAGUGCCCAUAACGAUUGUGCUGAGGUCACUAUAUACCCUCGAAAGUUGCCUACAUCAAAGCGCAAAUUACGGAAUUCGGACUCAUAAGACUGAAAGGUUAGGAAAAUAGACAUUUGACCGACAUCAGACUGA